rnacentral:rRNA from 1 species
UAAGGAAUAUUGGACAAUGGGCGGAAGCCUGAUCCAGCCAUGCCGCGUGAAGGAAGAAUGCGCUCAGCGUUGUAAACUUCUUUUGAAUGGGAACAAUAAUCCCGACGUGUCGGGACUUGAGGGUACCAUUAGAAUAAGCACCGGCUAACUCCGUGCCAGCAGCCGCGGUAAUACGGAGGGUGCAAGCGUUAUCCGGAAUCACUGGGUUUAAAGGGUGCGUAGGCGGUUUGAUAAGUCAGUUGUGAAAUUC